GCGGGUGUAGUUCAGUGGUAGAACGUCAGCUUCCCAAGCUGGACACGCGUGUUCGAUUCACGUCACCCGCA
rnacentral:tRNA from 1 species